AUUGAACGCUGGCGGCAGGCCUAACACAUGCAAGUCGAACGAGUGGCAGACGGGUGAGUAAUGUCUGGGAAACAGCCUGAAGGAGGGGGAUAACUACUGGAAACGGUAGCUAAUACGGCAUACCAUCAGAUGUGCCCAGAUGGGAUGAGCUUGUUGGUGGGGUAACGGCUCACAAAGGCGACGAUCCCUAGCUGGUCUGAGAGGAUGACCAGCCACACUGGAACUGAGACACGGUCCAGACUCCUACGGGAGGCAGCAGUGGGGAAUCUUGCACAAUGGGCGCAAGCCUGAUGCAGCCAUGCCGCGUGUAUGAAGAAGGCCUUCGGGUUGUAAAGUACUUUCAGCAGGGAGGCGUUACCCUCAGAAGAAGCACCGGCUAACUCCGUGCCAGCAGCCGCGGUAACUC
rnacentral:rRNA from 1 species